UGAGGAAUAUUGGUCAAUGGGCGAGAGCCUGAACCAGCCAAGUCGCGUGAAGGAUGACUGUCUUAUGGAUUGUAAACUUCUUUUAUACGGGAAUAACAAGAGUCACGUGUGACUCCCUGCAUGUACCGUAUGAAUAAGCAUCGGCUAACUCCGUGCCAGCAGCCGCGGUAAUACGGAGGAUGCGAGCGUUAUCCGGAUUUAUUGGGUUUAAAGGGUGCGUAGGCGGUUUGUUAAGUCAGCGGUGAAAUCUAGAGGCUCAACCUCGAAACUGCCGUUGAAACUGGCGAACUUGAGUGUAGAUGAGGUAGGCGGAAUUCGUGGUGUAGCGGUGAAAUGCAUAGAUAUCACGAGGAACUCCGAUUGCGAAGGCAGCUUACUAAGGUAC
rnacentral:rRNA from 1 species